rnacentral:rRNA from 1 species
AACGAACGCUGGCGGCAUGCCUAACACAUGCAAGUCGAACGAGACCUUCGGGGCUAGUGGCGCACGGGUGCGUAACGCGUGGGAACCUGCCCUUAGGUUCGGAAUAACUCCCCGAAAGGGGUGCUAAUACAGGAUAAUGUCUUCGGACCAAAGAUUUAUCGCCUUUGGAUGGGCCCGCGUUGGAUUAGCUAGUUGGUAGGGUAAAAGCCUAUCAAGGCGACGAUCCAUAGCUGGUCUGAGAGGAUGAUCAGCCACACUGGGACUGAGACACGGCCCAGACUCCUACGGGAGGCAGCAGUGGGGAAUAUUGGACGAUGGGCGAGAGCCUGAUCCAGCAAUGCCGCGUGAGUGAUUAAGGCCUUAGGGUUGUGAAGCUCUUUUACCCGGGAUGAUAAUGACAGUACCGGGAGAAUAAGCUCCGGCUAACUCCGUG